UACGUAGGGUGCGAGCGUUGUCCGGAAUUAUUGGGCGUAAAGGGCUCGUAGGCGGUUUGUCGCGUCGGGAGUGAAAACUCAGGGCUUAACCCUGAGCCUGCUUCCGAUACGGGCAGACUAGAGGUAUGCAGGGGAGAACGGAAGUUCCUGGUGUAGCGGUGAAAUGCGCAGAUAUCAGGAGGAACACCGGUGGCGAAGGCGGUUCUCUGGGCAUUACCUGACGCUGAGGAGCGAAAGUGUGGGGAGCGAACAGG
rnacentral:rRNA from 1 species